GUGCCAGAAUUACAGGUGUGAGCCACUGUGCCCGGUCCAUGGCGCCCUGUUUUCAACCUCUGCUCUUACCUUUAGUUCACUCCUCUUUCAGGAGUCCAGCACCUGAAGAAUGAUAGUGGCCAGCGUGGAAAUGCACAAACCACCUUGUGUAAGAUACUGCACCCUACCCGCUCCUGUAUCACCACCACCAGGACUCCUGGUACAUACUCCAGGACAGAUACAGGAGAGUUGAGUCGUCCUGUUCCUGGCAUUCCUAUCUGGGCUACACUACCUACCCCAUCGCCAGAGAAAGGUGAGACAGAAGCACAAAGUGGUUGUACACUAUGCUAUGACCUUCCAGUUUUCUCCAGCUCUGUUGCAUUGUGCUGCCAUCAAUUUUAAUGAGCCUGAUGAUACCGCCGUGUUGACAGUUUGGAAAGGGAAUCAAGUUACUAGUAGACUUAAGCUGCAGCCAGCCAAACAGUUGCUCUGCAGGAAAAUCACCAAGAUUGCAGUGAGUGUGGAAGUCCUCAGAGCCAAUUAGGUCAGCUUAAUAAUCUCUGAUCAAGUGGGUAUUUUAUAACUUGUCCCAGGGGUGUUGGGAGGGCAUAUGGAGAAAAUACCCUUAUUCUAUUGCUUUUUGUUGUUGGAGACGGUCUGACUCUGUCACCCAAGCUGGAAUACACUGGCACAAUCAUGGUUCACUGCAUGCUCGACCUGGGCACAAACAAUCCUCCCACCUCAGCUGAGUAACUGGGACUAUAGGUGCGUGCCACCAUGCCUGGCUAAAUAUUUUUGGUAGCGAUGAGGUCUCACUAUGUUGCACAGGCUGGUUUCAAACCCCUGGGCUCAAGUGAUCCUCCUGACUUGAACUCCCAAAGUGCUGGGAUUACAGGCAUGAGCCACUGCACCUGGCCAGAGUUAACUCUAUUUCUGAUUAAGGGGACUUGACCCCUGGCCAGGAGGGGCCUGGGGUCUCUGUGUUUAAGACAGCACUCCCCAGCGCCAGCCCUGGCAGAGGAAGAGUGGAGGUAUGGGGAGGGAGGCCUCAAACAGAAUCUAGAGAUCAUAUUCUAGCCCCAACCUGGCCACUGAAUGGUAUUUGCUCCCCUCUGUCACUUCCCCUCUGAGCCUCCAGUUCCUCAACUGAAACUCCGAGGCCCAAGCUAAGUGAGCCUGCAGGUUGUUUCAGCUGUACAAAUCUGCAUGUGGUUCACCGUGAGCCUAACCAGCAA
rnacentral:lncRNA from 1 species